rnacentral:rRNA from 1 species
GGCGGAAGUGGCGGGGUGCUAAUACAUGCAAGUCGAGCGAGCAGAACCAGCAGAUUUACUUCGGUAAUGACGCUGGGGACGCGAGCGGCGGAUGGGUGAGUAACACGUGGGGAACCUGCCCCAUAGUCUGGGAUACCACUUGGAAACAGGUGCUAAUACCGGAUAAGAAAGCAGAUCGCAUGAUCAGCUUAUAAAAGGCGGCGUAAGCUGUCGCUAUGGGAUGGCCCCGCGGUGCAUUAGCUAGUUGGUAAGGUAACGGCUUACCAAGGCAAUGAUGCAUAGCCGAGUUGAGAGACUGAUCGGCCACAUUGGGACUGAGACACGGCCCAAACUCCUACGGGAGGCAGCAGUAGGGAAUCUUCCACAAUGGACGCAAGUCUGAUGGAGCAACGCCGCGUGAGUGAAGAAGGUUUUCGGAUCGUAAAGCUCUGUUGUUGGUGAAGAAGGAUAGAGGCAGUAACUGGCCUUUAUUUGACGGUAAUCAACCAGAAAGUCACGGCUAACUACGUGCCAGCAGCCGCGGUAAUACGUAGGUGGCAAGCGUUGUCCGGAUUUAUUGGGCGUAAAGCGAGCGCAGGCGGAAGAAUAAGUCUGAUGUGAAAGCCCUCGGCUUAACCGAGGAACUGCAUCGGAAACUGUUUUUCUUGAGUGCAGAAGAGGAGAGUGGAACUCCAUGUGUAGCGGUGGAAUGCGUAGAUAUAUGGAAGAACACCAGUGGCGAAGGCGACUCUCUGGUCUGCAACUGACGCUGAGGCUCGAAAGCAUGGGUAGCGAACAGGAUUAGAUACCCUGGUAGUCCAUGCCGUAAACGAUGAGUGCUAAGUGUUGGGAGGUUUCCGCCUCUCAGUGCUGCAGCUAACGCAUUAAGCACUCCGCCUGGGGAGUACGACCGCAAGGUUGAAACUCAAAGGAAUUGACG